AUGCAGCAGGUAGGAAAGAGGCGAACCCUAGAUCUACCCGUGGUCAGAGAUUUCUGUCGACGUUCCAUCUGUUCUUCUUGCGCGUGCUUCCGAUCUGAUGGGAUUCUUGCGGUGUUGGGCGGAUUGAUCCUGCAGGGCGAUGGCACGGAGGCGCAGGUGACGUGGGAUGACCAGCAGAACAUCAACCGGUUCGGCCGCCUCAACAACCGCCUCCACGAGCUCGCCGACGAGAUCAGGCUCGCCAAGGAAGCAAACGAAAACCUCGAGGAUGCUGGGAAUGAACUCAUCUUGUCUGAUGAAGACGUGGUGCGAUUCCAAAUCGGGGAAGUGUUUGCCCACAUGCCAGUGGACGAUGUGGAAGCUAGGCUAGAGCAGAUGAAAGAGGACGCAGCUAAGAAGUUGGAGAAGCUCGAGGAAGAGAAGGAAUCCAUCCUUGCCCAGAUGGCCGAACUGAAGAAGAUCCUCUAUGGGAAAUUUGGAGAUGCCAUCAACCUGGAGGAAGAUUGA
rnacentral:rRNA from 1 species